GGGCGCAUAGCGCAGUGGUAGCGCGUCCGCUUUGCAAGCGGAAGGCCCCGGGUUCAAUCCUCGGUGUGUCCA
rnacentral:tRNA from 1 species